GGUUGUUCUCUUGAAAUAUGAAGAGAUAAAUUCUUGGAAAAAUAACCACUGGAGAGUUUUGAGGCCAGCUCAGUAGCGUUCAGUUGCUGAUCUGCUGCUGACAUGGGCAGAGGCACCUCGGUGACUUCACAUCCAGCACCUGGCAGGUCUUGGUAGAACAGCAGCCAACGAUGGCCCACUAACGUUCCACCCGUCGUUGAUGGGACUCCGCUCACCUUCCGGGCCCGUGAAGGCCUUUGUCCAUCGUUUACCGGAUGAGGGUCUGAAGGUGUGCCUGUGAGCUGAGUGGACGUUGGGUAGCGGAGCCCAGUAUGGGAAGCUCAAAGAAGUUGGUGUGGAAGCUACAAGACUCCAUGAAGACUGGAUAAUCAAGCAUUGUUUUGGGGUCCCACAGGCUUCUUGGGAGUACUACACACUGAUGCCUGUUGGAGAUGAGAACCAAGAGGCUCCUAGACAAACUGCAGAAACCGUGGCCGUGGAAGGAGGGUCUGAAGGUGUGCCUGUGAGCUGAGUGGACGUUGGGUAGCGGAGCCCAGUAUGGGAAGCUCAAAGAAGUUGGUGUGGAAGCUACGAGACUCCAUGAAGACUGGAUAAUCAAGCAUUGUUUUGGGGUCCCACAGGCUUCUUGGGAGUACUACACACUGAUGCCUGUUGGAGAUGAGAACCAAGAGGCUCCUAGACAAACUGCAGAAACCGUGGCCGUGGAAGGAGCAAUCCUGAACCUCCUCAUUCCUGGAGCAGACAAUGUUCCUGCGGAAGAAACUGAGCAAGCAAGGUUAUAGAAGCGAAACUGGUAAGCAAUGCUUGGAGCACCAUUAGCAGGGCUGCUGGCUUGAACUUAGGGCACGUAGUUGCUACAUAAUUCCAAGAAGGAUGGACUGAGGCUGAGCAGAACUGAAAAGGCAUGGAAAUGCUUUUUCUGGCAAGGCGGGGGUUAAGUCUCUUAGCUAAAUCUCCCAGUUCACUUCCUUGUGGGGUUCUCCCAUAAGCUUUCCUUACACACUCUUUAAAAAUGCCUUUAGCCUGCUGUGAAGCAGCCUUGGUGUCUCUGCCACUUAGAGAUUUUUUCCACUUGUUUGUAUGUAGUUAGCUUAAAGUACGGAAAGAAAUUUAUUUUUCUCUCCCUCCCCCUUCUUCCUAGCA